rnacentral:misc_RNA from 1 species
CAAUUUCCCCUUGUCCAUUUUCGCAUUUCCCCGUGUCUGCAUUUCCGUUUCCGUUUCCGUGUUACAUACGUGCUAAGAUUCUACCAUAUGCUAAACAGACCAAUUGGUGGACAGUGCAUGACGGAUGAGGGAUGGCGACUACGUGCUUAGAGACGGGUUGAGACUGAAAGCUAGUGGGGAGACUCAAUUGAGAGACAAGUUAAAGAGAUUGAUAGCCAAUAGGGAAGGGAGGGGAGGGGAG